UGCAGCCACCUUGAUAGUGUGAUGUCCAUCUCUUCUGGCUCUAAUAGGACAAAUCUGCAGACUCCUGUGAGAUUGAACCCUGGCAGGUGUACAGAAAACCUUUGGUGUUUAAUGUACUGGUCCUGGAUGCAGCCACCUUGAUAGUGUGAUGUCCAUCUCUUCUGGCUCUAAUAGGACAAAUCUGCAGACUCCUGUGAGAUUGAACCCUGGCAGGUGUACAGAAAACCUUUGGAUGCUACAGAAUGCCCUGGGCCCAGGCAGGGGAAUCAGCCUUCAACCUGGCCCCACAACACCUUCCCUGGAAGGAACUGAGCCUGAAACUACACCCCCUCUUCACCCUGCUCUAUGCACCUAUUAUGAUUAUUGAAAUAAAUGUCAUGAAAAUGA